GUCCUGGUGGCGGAAUGUAUCACGCCCUCAAACAACUAGGAGCCACGUCUCUUCUUGAUAGCGGGAGGCCUUGGUUCGAAUCCAGGCCAGGCUG